rnacentral:rRNA from 1 species
CAAGCCGAAGACGGGUAGCGGGUGUGAGAGCAUGGCCCGCAGCAUCGAGACUGAGACACUGCUCGGACUCCUACGGGAGGCUGCAGUAACGAAUCUUCCGCAAUGCGCGAAAGCGUGACGGAGCAAUGCCGCGUGUGGGAUGAAGCGGUUUUCCGUGUAAACCACUGUCAGGGUCCAGGAAGAACUGACCGGACCCAAAGGAAGGGGCGGCUAACCUCGUGCCAGCAGCCGCGGUAAUACGUAGGGUGCGAGCGUUAAUCGGAAUUACUGGGCGUAAAGCGCACGUAGGCGGAUUGCUAAGUCAGGGGUGAAAUCCCGGGGCUCAACCUCGGAACUGCCUUUGAUACUGACAAUCUCGAGUCCGGAAGAGGUGGGUGGAAUUCCUAGUGUAGAGGUGAAAUUCGUAGAUAUUAGGAAGAACACCGGUGGCGAAGGCGGCCCACUGGUCCGGUACUGACGCUGAGGUGCGAAAGCGUGGGGAGCAAACAGGAUUAGAUACC